rnacentral:rRNA from 1 species
UAGGGAAUCUUCGGCAAUGGGGGGAACCCUGACCGAGCAACGCCGCGUGAGUGAAGAAGGUUUUCGGAUCGUAAAGCUCUGUUGUUAAGGAAGAACGAGUGUGAGAAUGGAAAGUUCAUGCUGUGACGGUACUUAACCAGAAAGGGACGGCUAACUACGUGCCAGCAGCCGCGGUAAUACGUAGGUCCCGAGCGUUGUUCGGAUUUAUUGGGCGUAAAGCGAGCGCAGGCGGUUAGAAAAGUCUGAAGUGAAAGGCAGUGGCUCAACCAUUGUAGGCUUUGGAAACUGUUUAACUUGAGUGCAGAAGGGGAGAGUGGAAUUCCAUGUGUAGCGGUGAAAUGCGUAGAUAUAUGGAGGAACACCGGUGGCGAAAGCGGCUCUCUGGUCUGUUACUGACGCUGAGGCUCGAAAGCGUGGGGAGCGAACAGG